rnacentral:tRNA from 1 species
GGAGGGGUGGCAGAGUGGCCGAAUGCACUGGUCUUGAAAACCAGCNNUGAAAACCAGCAGGGGUUAAUAGCUCCUCGAGAGUUCAAAUCUCUCCUCCUCCGCCA